rnacentral:lncRNA from 1 species
GAAAUAUUUAGACCGAAAUUAAUGAGCUUUCCGCCAUCUUGGAAAAAUUCUUGACCUCAUUAACUAUGGUUUUGAUGACGUCAGGAGUUGGGUUAACCAUAUAAAACUACUCGAAAAUGACCGAAUAACAAUUCAAAAUUGUUUGAAAUGUUUUUAAUCAUUUCUAAAUUUCCGACAGCAACCAGAAACGAAGUUUUGGACGCAUAUUGAUCGCUUACUCUCAAGAUAAAAAAUUAGCGUGACCCCUCUCUUGACGUAACAUGCAUAUCCUCAAUAAUCCAAGAUGGCGAACAGCUCACUUUUUUCAGUCGAAAUAUUUUG